GUUAGGAAUAUUGGACAAUGGGCGCAAGCCUGAUCCAGCCAUGCCGCGUGAACGAUGAAGGCCUUCGGGUUGUAAAGUUCUUUAGCCGAUGAUUAUAAUGACUGUAGUCGGAAAAUAAGCCCCGGCUAACUUCGUGCCAGCAGCCGCGGUAAUACGAAGGGGGCGAGCGUUAUUCGGAAUCACUGGGCGUAAAGCGUGCGUAGGCGGUCUCGUAAGUUAGGAGUGAAAGCCCAGGGCUCAACCUUGGAAUUGCACUUAAUACUGCAAGGCUAGAAUCUCGGAGAGGAUAGCGGAAUUUCCAGUGUAGCAGUGAAAUGCGUAGAUAUUGGAAGGAACACCAGUGGCGUAAGCGGCUAUCUGGACGAGUAUUGACGCUGAGGCACGAAAGCGUGGGGAUCAAACAGGAUUAGAAACCCUGGUAGUCC
rnacentral:rRNA from 1 species